rnacentral:rRNA from 2 species
AAAUUGAAGAGUUUGAUCAUGGCUCAGAUUGAACGCUGGCGGCAGGCCUAACACAUGCAAGUCGAACGGUAACAGGAAGCAGCUUGCUGCUUUGCUGACGAGUGGCGGACGGGUGAGUAAUGUCUGGGAAACUGCCUGAUGGAGGGGGAUAACUACUGGAAACGGUGGCUAAUACCGCAUAAUGUCGCAAGACCAAAGAGGGGGACCUUCGGGCCUCUUGCCAUCAGAUGUGCCCAGAUGGGAUUAGCUUGUUGGUGAGGUAACGGCUCACCAAGGCGACGAUCCCUAGCUGGUCUGAGAGGAUGACCAGCCACACUGGAACUGAGACACGGUCCAGACUCCUACGGGAGGCAGCAGUGGGGAAUAUUGCACAAUGGGCGCAAGCCUGAUGCAGCCAUGCCGCGUGUAUGAAGAAGGCCUUCGGGUUGUAAAGUACUUUCAGCGGGGAGGAAGGUGUUGUGGUUAAUAACCGCAGCAAUUGACGUUACCC